rnacentral:lncRNA from 1 species
AGAGCAGCGAGCGGGUGGGGAGCAGCCGGGGCGAGAAUGAGCGCAAUCUUGCUAACCCCUGCGGAGGGAGCGCGCGGGCGCCAACGCGGGCGCGCGGGGGCGGGCCCUGGACCUGGACCUUGGGUUUCGGCCCUCCUCCGCGCCCCGCGGUCUCGCGGGCGAAGUUUCAGUCCUGAGUGUAAAGAAUAACCCCAAGCGCGUGGCUAAGUGCGAGCAGGCGCGUGUGACGUCGGGAGGCGCCGCGGCUCCUCGGCCGCCCCACUCGGUGGUCCCCUGUCUGGAUCCAAACUGCUGACUGGCUGACCCGAGUGGUCACAUUUGCCCUCUGGGGCUUUUGAAAACCUUAAAUCAAAAUUGCUUUUGAAUCUGACAACUCCUGAGGCUACUUUCGCGGCCUCGGGGCUGUUUCAUAUAAGGACGCGAGUUUUCCUGAUCAGGUCUGUCGGCCACGUUACGAUUUCCAAUUUGCGAUCCAUCAGUUACUUCCAUUGGGUCUUCAGCCCCCAGGGACUGUGGAUCCUAGACCCCGCGGAGAAGCCCGUGGACUGGAGCUGUGUCAGCUCUGAUGAAUUUACACUCAUUGGAAUAAUAAAAUAGAAGUAAGCAACCGUGCAUUAAAAAGCUAUGAAAAGAUGAAGAGAAUAUGCCUUCAAAUGGGAAGGAAUACUUAACUGUGAAUAAGACCUAGUUCAACAUGGAACUUCCUGGUGGCCAAGUCAGAAGAGAAGCACAGAACAAAAACGGAGGCACAGAGAGGUCAAUUGAUUGGUCUAAUGACACAGAUCUAGCAAGUGGUGGAACCAGGACUGAAUCCAGGUGUGUGUCCGGAAUUGGUGGGUUCUUGGUCUCACUGACUUCAAGAAUGAAGCCGCGGACCCUUGCGGAACUGUGAAGACUAGAGUGACCUUGGAGAUCUCAUCUGGAAGAUGGUAGAACUGCUAUCAGCCUGGCUUCCCAAAUGACCUCCUGGAUCACAGCUACCCAUGGCCUGAAAUGUUGACCUUGGAGUUGUUGCAUAGGAAAGAAAUAAACUUCUUUGUUCUUUGAGCCACAUAGUUAUCACAUAUCUUCUUAAAGCCACUUACCCACUUGUUCUAUCUCAUUCAGCUCUGAAAUUCUGUUUAAUUUCUAGAGUCAAAACAUUCAUUUGUUUCUUCUUUAUUUAACAAGAAUCAAUUACUUAUUUUAUGGAAGCCACUAUUCCAAAGAGAAGAAUCAUAAAAACAUUAGCCUUAUGGAUCUUUUGUCCUGGGAACAACACAGAGUGGAGACUACUGGAAUUUUUAAUAAAGUUCCUUUCCUGGGCAGUGCCAGUCCAGACCUAAUUUCCAGACUUAGUUAAGAUUAGACCAGUGUGCUGAAGAAUCAAAACAUCUAGAUAUUUUCCUUGCUCCAUUCUGCUUACAGCCCCACAAAAACUACUCACCCCACAGGGUUUCUUGCUUGAGAUUCCAGACAAUUCCUGUAUGUUUUAUUAGAAUACACUCUGUGUUUCAUCCAACUAGGAAGCCUUUGGCUCCGACUUAAAGCAUUAAGAACGGACCACUUUGGUAUGGAAAAUUAUCAGUUUUGGGGGAAAAGCCCCUGUUUCUCUGAUCUGUGCUCUGAAUUUGGCAGCUUUGUAGGCUUUCUCAAAGAGCCGCAACUGUGAACCAUGUCAUGUUGUCAUUAUCUCUGAUAUGCUCUGUGCAUUGGAAAUCCUGUGUGAGACUGGCAGGGGACAGAGGGAAUGAAGAAAUCACAUUCAUCAGAACAAGCUGCUCAACUUCCUUAAGUAAGGAGUUUGUCUAACAUCCAGUGGUUUCCUCUGACAGAGUGUGUACUUUCUUAACAUACGGACAAGAUUAGUACAUAGCCAGAAUGACUGUCUGCAGGUCCUAGGCUGCUUUUCAGAGGCAGCUUUAAUCUUCCUAAUUGAAUAUUUAGCUUUUCUAGGCCUGCACAAAAUGUAAAUCACAAUGUUUACAAUCUGUGAAAUAAUAGGAGAGUACAUAAUGUCAUUGCAAUAUUUUGUAAUCACUGUUAAAUGACUAAAAUCUAUUAAACUCAAUCAUUUUAAAUUAAACUUCUAAACUUCCCCAUUGCAGGUGAUGGCAACUCCAUUUUUACAAUCGCUUAGGCCAAAAAAACUUGACGUCAUCCUUGACUCUUCUUUCUCUCUCAUCUCACAAGCAAUUCAUCAGAAAAUCCUGUCAGCUCUGCUUUCAAAAUUUAACCAGAAUCUGAUUCCUUUGCAUCACCUCCACUGCUACCACUCUGGUGGAGCUGCCAACAUCUGUCACAUAGAUUAAGUCACACACACACACAUGCACACACACACAGAGUGUAUUCUCAGUCAAAGUGAUCUUUUUAAAAGGGAAAUAAGGCCAUUCUACUCCUCUGUUCAAAACUUUCAAAUGGCUCUCCACUUUUCUCUGAAUAUAAGCUCAAAUCCAUACAAGGACUUGUAGAGCCCCCGUUACCUUCUGACCUCAUUGCCUCCUACUCUGAUCUCUUAUGCAGAUCCUGCCCCAGUGGCUUCCUUGUUGCUCCUGGGUCACAUAAGGAAUGCUCUUGUUAUUUGUUCCAACUCUUUCUCAGUGCCCUCUCCUUGAUGUCUGCUUGGAUAUCUCCCUCACCUUCUUUAAUUGGACCUCUACCUUUCACCAUAUACAAAAAUUAACUCGAGAUGAAUUAAAGAUUUAAAUGUAAGACCUCAAACUCUAUAAAUUACAGAAGAAAAUCUGGGAAAUUCCCUUCUCAAUGUCAGCCUUGGCAAAGAAUUGAUGGGUAAGUCCUCAAAAGCAAUUGCAACAAAAAAAUUGACAUGUGGGACCUAAUUAAACUAAAGAGGUUUUGCGCAGCAAAAGAAACUAGCAACAAGUAAACAACCUAUAGAAUGGGAGAAAAUAUUUGCAAGCUAUGCAUCCAACAAAGGUCUAAUAUCCAGAAUCUAUAAGGAACUUAAAUCAACAAGCAAAAAACAACCCCAUUAAAAAGUGGACAAAGGACAUGAACAGACAGUUCUCAAAAGAAGACAUAUAAGCAGCCAACAAACAUGAAAAAAUGCUCACCAUUGCUAAUCAUCAGAGAAAAGCAAAUUAAAACCAUAAUGAGAUAUCAUCUCACAUCAGCCAGAAUGGCUAUUAUUAAAAAGCCAAAAAAUAACAGAUGCUGUCAAGACUACAGAAAACAGGGGACACUUACACACUUUGGGUGGGAAUGUAAAUUAGUUCAGCCACGGUGGAAAGCAGUUUGGAGAUUUCUCAAAUAACUUAGAACUACCAUUUGACCCAGCAAUCCCAUUACUAGGUAUGUACCCAAAGGAACAUAUAUCAUUCUACAAAAAAGACACAUGCACUUGCAUGUUUUUUGCAGCACUAUUCACAAAAGGAAAGACAUGGAAUCAACCUAGAUGUGUAUCAGUGGUGGACUGGAUAAAGAAAAUGUGGUACAUAUAUACUAUGGAAUACUAUGCAGGCAUACAAAAUGAAAUCAUGUCUUUUGCAGCAACAUGGAUGCAGCCGGAGGCCAUUAUCCUAAGGAAUAGAAAACCAGGGCCGGAUGUGGUGGCUCACACCUGUAAUCCCAGCACUUUGGGAGGCUGAGGCAGGCAGAUCACAAGGUCAGGAAUUUGAGACCAGCCUGGCCAACAUAGUGAAACCUCAUCUCUACUAAAUACAAAAAAAUUAGCCGGGCGUGGUGGUGUGUGGUGGUAAUCCCACCUACUUGUGAGGUUGAAGUGGGAGAAUCGCUUGAACCUGGGAGGUGGAGGUUGCGGUGAGCCGAGAUCGCGCCACUGCACCCAGCCAGGGCGACAGUGCAAGAGUCCGACUCAAAAAAAAAAAAAAAAGAAAAGAAAAUGAAACCAAAUACCACAUGUUCUCACUUAUAAACGUGAACUAAACAUCAAGUACAUGUGGAGAUAAAGAUGGGAGCAACGGACACUGGGGACUGCUGGGGUCGGGGAGUGUUAGAGGGGGUGCUGAGGAACUGCCUAUGGGUGCUGUGCUCACUGCCUGGGUGACCAGAUCAUUCAUACUUCAAACCUCAGCAUCCCACAGUGUUCCCAUGUGACAGACCUGCACACGUAUCUCCUGAAUCUAAAAUAAAAGUUGAAAUUGCUUUUAAAAAAAGACUUGGCUGAAAUAUCUCCUCUUUAAUAAGGUCCACUGGGACUACCCUAUUCCUACUGUCCCUUGCUGUCCCACUCACUUA